UACGGAGGGACUAGCGUUGUUCGGAAUUACUGGGCGUAAAGCGCACGUAGGCGGAUUUGUAAGUCAGGGGUGAAAUCCCGGGCUCAACCUCGGAACUGCCUUUGAUACUGCAAUCUCGAGUCCGGAAGAGGUGAGUGGAAUUCCUAGUGUAGAGGUGAAAUUCGUAGAUAUUAGGAAGAACACCAGUGCGAAGGCAGCUCACUGGUCCGGUACUGACGCUGAGGUGCGAAAGCGUGGGAGCAAACAGG
rnacentral:rRNA from 1 species